CCUACGGGUGGCUGCAGUGAGGAAUAUUGGUCAAUGGCCGCGAGCCUGAACCAGCCAAGUCGCGUGAAGGAAGACGGCCCUACGGGUUGUAAACUUCUUUUUUCGGGGAGUAAAGUGAGUCACGUGUGACUCAUUGAGAGUACCCUAUGAAUAAGCAUCGGCUAACUCCGUGCCAGCAGCCGCGGUAAUACGGAGGGUCCGAGCGUUAUCCGGAUUUAUUGGGUUUAAAGGGAGCGCAGGUCGGCUCUUAAGCGAGUUGUGAAAUGCCGCGGCUCAACCGUGGCAUUGCAGUUGAGACUGGGAGCCUUGAGUGCAGAGGAGGUAGGCGGAAUUCGUGGUGUAGCGGUGAAAUGCUUAGAUAUCACGAAGAACUCCGAUUGCGAAGGCAGCUUACCAUAGCGUUACUGACGCUGAGGCUCGAAAGUGUGGGUAUCGAACAGGAUUAGAUACCCUGGUAGUC
rnacentral:rRNA from 1 species